AAGAUACGUACAUCGGACUAAAAGAUGAGGCCAAGCGGAUCGUACUAGACAUCAAUGUGUCAAAGACAAAGUACAUGAAAGGCAGGGGCUCGAGAGAAGAUAACGUCAGCCACCCAUUACGAGUUCUGAUUGGUGGUGAUGAAAUCGAAAUGGUCGACGAGUUCGUGUACUUGGGCUCACUGGUGACUGCCGGUAAUGACACCAGCAAAGAAAUUCAGAGACGCAUAUUGUCAGGAAAUCGUGCUUACUUUGGACUGCGCAGGACGCUUCGAUCGAGAAAAAUUUGCCGUCGUACGAAGUUAACUAUCUACAAAACGCUGAUUAGACCGGUUAUCCUCUACGGGCACGAGUCCUGGACAAUGCUUGCGGAGGAUCAACGCGCACUAGGCGUUUUUGAACAGAAGGUGUUGCGAACCAUCUUCGGCGGAGUGCGGAUGGAAGACGGUACGUGGAGAAGGCGAAUGAACCACGAACUGCACCAGUUGCUGGGAGGACCAACCCUCAUCCAAACGGCCAAGGUCGGGCGGUUACGGUGGGCCGGGCAUGUUGUUAGAAUGUCGGAGAACAACCCGGUUAAAAUGAUUCUCGAUAAUGAUCCGACCGGUAUAAGAAGAAGAGGCGAGGCCGGCGGCGAACAGCCAUGAACCGAGUUGAAUGGAGACGCAUCCUGUAUACAGCAGAGACCCGCGUGGUCUACGACUGGAAGAGUAACAGUAAGAGUAAGAUAGCAAUUCUAAUUUCAAUCCAUGGAAUUUAGCUACGUUAAUGAUUUGGGAAAAUAUUUCCAUCAUUGUUUUCAUAAUCGGUGUUGCCACGACCACAUUUAAAUUCAGCAUACCAGUUAGUAAUUACUUAUUUUGUAGGAGUAGAGUCUGGAUAAUGCUUAUCAAGCUUUAUAUAAGCACAUAAAAUUCUUCUUUCUCCAUUGUCUCUAAUUUUCCUGAAGAAGCGUUACAGAAAGCCCAAAAACUAAUAAUACUAAUGAAUCUAAUUCUAAGAAUUUUUGACAGAUGACAUCUCUAUUGAACGCCCAAAAACUAAUAAUACUAAUGAAUCGAAUUCUAAGAAUAUUUGACAGAUGACAUCUCUAUUGAACGCUAGAGGGAUUUUUGAUUAGUGACGCCAUCCAUCUUGUAACGUUAGACUAAUUUUGUUAUGUUAUAUCAAGUAUGCACUGAACGAAAAUUCGGAAAGUUAAACAUAUGUGGUAUACGUUGGAUGAAGCACAAACUUGCGAUACUGGCAGCACGGCACAAGCACUGAUCGUUUUAUCAUCAAACGCACAAGGCAGCUAGCGUAUAGUGGUUUCCGCUUACACGUCACUAGCACAAAGAAGAAACUGAAAAGAAAAGCACAGUCAACUUCCUUGUCCAACGAAGACGGACGUCUUUUCGCUCGGAGACAUCAACCAGAAGAGAUAUGGCUCGGCCAUAGUUCGUUACCGAAAAGAAAACUGGUUGCAAAAAAGCAAAAAUAGAAUCAAGCUCGAGCAAAGUAAAUCGCGGCACAUGGAUUCAUGACGUCACCGUUCACUGAGCACGAGGGAUCGAGCACACAAAGAACGUCCAGCUCAUCCAUAAAGAACCCGGAAAGGGUCUUUCUUCUGGAUCUUUCUGUUGGAUUUUUCUUUUGGAUUAUUAUUCUUCUGGAACUGGAGCUCUCUUGGCUCGAACACCGCACUGGAGACCGCACUGAUAGCUGGAGACAAUCAUCAGCAGCUGCGAAGGGACUCCAUUCUGGGUCAGAGGUUGAAGCCCUCUCGACACCGCGCCGGAUGUUGUGCUGAUACUGCACCGAGACAUUACGGAGACGUGCUAACGCCGGAAUUCAUCGUGGGGUCAAUAUCCUGCACGAAAUCAGUGUUUAAACCUGACCACUCGGACAUCGUGCUUCCUCCGUGUCUUGCAGUGUUUUAGUGUCGCCAUAUCAUCAUACCCUGUAGGCGACAUCGUCGCGCUGACGCCGUCAUAUGGAAACUUCAUGUGAGCUGAACGUCAAAUGCUCUGCAUCGUGAGUGAAGAUGCAUGUGGUGUGAUUAGGAUAGAUAGGAUGGAAGGAUGAUUUCGGUAAGCGUCUUGAUUAUUUAUUAGUGAGGACACAGGAAGAGAUUUGAGGCAAGAUAGAGAGGAACAUGAAGCUGUGUAGUUAGAGGAAGUAUUUCAAGUUUUGUGGAGGAAAGGCAGGAGACGGAAGAGAUGAGAGUGCAUGCUCGGUCAACAUAAACAAUAUGAAACGAUACACAAUAUGAUUUUUAUUUGGGCUAGUUGGCUUUCCGUCACCUAAAGGGAAGAAAUUCCUAUAUUUUACAUUGGCGCCCAACUGAAAACCCCACCUAUUUGAAAAAUUAAUGUUAGAGUUUGAGUUUUGUGAUUUGGGUGAUAGUUUGUUUUAAGCAUAUUUUGAUUUGUGAAUUCAGUUCGAUCUUUUAAGUAUGGAUUAUACACACUUAAUCGAUGAAGAAAUUGAUUAUGAGUUGGCGUUGAGACAUGUAGUCAAUAUAACCGCAAAGACUCACCGCACUAGAGUGCAGCUUUUACUUAAAGCAAUCCGCGAAGAUGAAUCGGGAAAUAUAGUUCGAAGAAGCGUUGAUCACGCUAUAACACCUUCGGAAAAUUUAGAGUCAUGUCGAUUUCAGAUUUAUGAACUUCAAAAACUGGUUGAAGUUGCUCUUAGAAAUAUAAACAUUGAAAUGCUUGUUCAAUUACGGUCGCGUAUCGCACAUUAUCGGUCUCGUUUAUCACUAAUAAAUCCGCCGAGUGAUCGUUUAGAGAUGCACAGUUCAUUGUGUGCUCUAGUUAAAGUGAUGGGAAGUGAUGUUAGAAGUGUAUUAAAUAAAGCAGUGACUCGUGUGGUGCAAGGCAGCAGCAUAGCACCAGCACAACAGAAUAACACAGCAGUCGAUAGCAAUGCGACAACGGUAACCGCAGAUGGGCAGCAUAGAUUGGAACCACCCUCCACCUCCCCUCGAGCUGCAGGACAAGCAAGCAGUUCAUCAUGGUCGAACGUUACCGGUAGGAGAUUUGAUGGAAGUUCACAUUACUCUCCACUUCCAUUAGGAAAUCAAAGAAACUUGGUGAGCAAUACCAAUACGAGAGGGAUGGAUAGCGUGCUCCAAGAUAACUCGCAUCUGAAUCAAACGGGAGCUUCGAAUGAAUAUUGGCCCCCACCACCGAGAAGACAGCAAGAAGAGAACCCAACUGGCAAUUGGAAUCGAAACAAUGUUUGUCGCAAUGCAUGGGAAGAAUACAACGAAUUACGAGAUGAUUUGCUUCGACAUCUGCUACGACGAGAAUCAAGACCAACGCAAGAAAGAGGCGAAGACAGACGCAUGCUAAAGGCAGUACAUAACUGGCCUUUCAAAUUUCGAGGAGAAAAGGAUACAACAUCGUUGAACAUAUUUCUGGAUCGGGUUGAGACAUUUGCCAGAUCGGAAGGCAUGAAUGACGACACUUUGUUGUCAUCAAUUAAGCAUUUACUGCAAGAAGAUGCGCUUGAUUGGUACGCUCGAGCCAUGGCGCAGAACAGAUUAAGCUCCUGGGAAGCAUUCAAGCAGGAGAUACGCAAGGAAUUUCUACCAGCAGGAUAUGCACAGAUACUACGUUUGGAAGCUUGCUUUCGCUUUCAAGGGCAAAAUGAAACUUUUGCGAAAUACUACCGAGACAUCGCAGCUCUUUUUCGAUUUGUGACACCACCAAUGGAGCAAGAAGAACAGUUCUUUAUCGUCAAGAAAAACAUGAACGCAGACUACGCAGCGAUCGUCACCGCAGCAAGGCCUCAUUCACUGCAGGAGAUGGUCGAGAUUUGCACGAGCUAUGAUGAAACCAGAUUGCUUUUGAGUAGACAGAGACGACUUCCAGUACCACACAGCGCAUUGUUGGAACCUAGUUUCGCAACUCCAACGGCUACAGUAAAAUCACCGCAGACAACGCAGUAUCAUCAACGUUUCGCUAGAGUUCACGCGGUACAAUCAGAAGAGAAUGCUGCAGAAGAAUAUGGUUCCGUUGAGGGCUUAGAACCAAUCCCCGAGACUGCUCAAUCACAGGAUGAAAACAAUCACUGGUCUUGGAAACUUGAUCAACUGAUGGAGCAAGUGUGCGAGUUAAAACUGCAAUGGUCAACAAGACUCCCCAGAACGUCGAAUUCCCAGAAGACGGAACAACCAAUGCAGCAACAUAGAGACGCGCGGCAACUGGCACGGCCGCCAACAACCGUUCAAACGAAUACGCUGCAAAAUCAACGGCGAUUUCCAAUAGCCGUAAAGCAAGAAAGGAGGACGGAAGCUAAACAGGAACAGCAUCCAUCACUGAUACAACAGGAAGACAUUUCGGAUUAUCGGCGACUAGUAUUGAUUUGCUGGAAUUGUGAUGAAGAAGGACAUCGUUUUAUGGAUUGUCCAAAACCACAAGCAAUCCUGUUUUGUUACAGAUGUGGAAGAAAAGGAUACUCCUUACGCAGCUGCUUUACUUGCAGAACAGACACGGGAAACGAAGAAGCGGAGAACCGACAGUAGAGGGAGACGAUUUUCCGCAGCAGUUCGAGAAUCCCUCAGCAGUUCCUGAAUUUAAAAACAUUAGUUCGAUCAUCAUCAAUCUCGGACAAGACAACCGGCCGCAUGCAGUCAUCAGUGUGCUAGGCAGAAACAUAACAGCCUUAUUAGACAGCGGCGCUAACUGUUCGUUGUUAGGAGGAAGCUACGUGAAGUUGGUAGAAGAACUCCAGUUACGAGAAGGCAUUGUAAACGGUGGCAUCCAAACAGCUGAUGGAACUCAGCACAAGAUAAACAGCUUCACUCGAUUGCCUAUCGUAUACAACAAUCGGAAUGAAACGUUACCGGUACUCUUGGUUCCCACCAUUCCAGAUUGUGUGAUUUUAGGAAUGAAUUUUUGGGAGAAAUUCGGAGUAAAGGCGAUUUGCUGUACACUUGAAGCCGAUUUCCAGAAAACGAAGUCUACAGAAGAAGAGUCGAUGAAAGUCCUGACAGAUGAGCAGUAUCAUAGACUUCAGCAAGUGAUAAGAACUUUCCCGAAAGCAACCGGUGACAAGUUAGGAAGAACUUCCAUGUAUGAGCAUCGGAUCGACGUCGGACAGGCAGUUCCGCGUAAGCAGCGCUACUAUCCAAUGUCUCCAUACGUUCUAGAAGAGGUCAACCGUGAAAUCGACAGGAUGAUAGCAUUAGACGUGAUUGAAUACGCACUUUAUUCACCUUGGAAUAACCCUUUGGUAGCGGUAAAAAAGAAAACAGGCCAAUACCGCGUCUGUUUAGAUGCUAGACACCUAAACUCCGUCAUGGUCAACGAAGGAUAUCCAAUACCGCAGAUAUCAUCGAUCUUGAACAACCUCGGUGGAUGCGCUUACAUAUCGUCGCUUGAUCUGAAGGACGCAUUUUGGCAACUACCGUUGCAUCCAGAUUCGAGACCUCUAACAGCUUUCACAGUCCCGUCCAGAGGACACUUCCAAUUCAAAGUGGUUCCAUUCGGAUUAUGCACGGCGAGUCAAGCAUUGGCACGAGUAAUGACACAACUGUUUGCAGACAUGGAGCCGCAAGUAUUCCAUUAUUUGGACGACAUAGUUAUCUGUUCUAAGACGUUUGAGGAACACUUGAAAACCUUGGAGGAGGUAACGAGGCGUUUGGAGCAUGCGGGAUUAACAAUAUCAACAGAAAAGUCCAAGUUUUGUCGUCGCGAAAUCAAAUAUCUCGGGCACAUUCUCAACGAGAGUGGAUGGAAAGUUGAUGAGGAUAAGAUAGCAAGCAUCGUUAAGUUUCCGAUUCCAUCAAGCAGGAAGGAAGUUCAACGAUUCCUCGGUCUCUGUAAUUGGUAUCGUCGGUUCAUCGGAGAUUUCUCAAAACUGGCCGCGCCAAUCACAGAACUCACGAAGACAAAAGCGAAAUUUCAAUGGAAUCCACAAGCAGAGCAGGCGUUCCUGAAGCUGAAAGCAGCGUUGGUAUCAGCACCAGUAUUGGCAAUGCCAGAUUACACAAAGCCAUUUGAUAUUGCGUGCGACGCUAGUGAUGUGGCAAUAGGAGCAGUGCUAUCACAGAACAUAGAGGGAGAAGAACAUCCUAUUUGCUAUUUUUCGCAAAAACUCUCAUCUUCGGAAAGGAAGUACUCAGUGACAGAGCGAGAAUGUUUGGCCGUAAUUCGUGCUAUUGAGAAGUUUCGAGGAUACGUCGAAGGCACCAGAUUCACAGUAUACUGUGAUCAUGCAGCAUUGAGUUAUCUGAGAUCCAUGAAGAACCCAACAGCGCUCAUGAGUCGAUGGUUGUUGAGGCUUAACGCAUAUAAUUUCGACAUCAAGUAUCGGAAAGGCAGCAUCAACGUCGUUCCGGACGCGUUAUCGAGAAUUGUUUCUAGCAUGGUGUUUGUGAUUGAUGAGGUUAAAGACGAUUGGUACAAAAGCCUGAGAAAGCGGAUAAUGAACAACGGGGACAGCUUUCCAGACUUUCGAUUGAUAGGAGAUGAGCUGUACAAAAACUGUCUCUGCAAGGAUGAGCUUGGAAACACAAGUCACAAAUGGAAGAAGGUCGUUCCAAAAGAAGAGCGAACCGAUAUCAUCAGACGAUAUCACGAUUCACCAACAGCCGCACAUCUAGGUUUCUUCAAAACAUGGCAGAAAAUUCAGUCUCAUUUCUACUGGCCAAAAAUGCAGCUAGAAAUUGGCAAGUACGUGAGGGAGUGUAGUACGUGCAAGGCGAGCAAAGCUCCGAACACUCGAAUGCUUCCUACAAUGGGCAAGCUGAAACCGGCUAGACUGCCAUGGGAACUGAUUUCGAUGGAUUUUGUGGGCCCGUUGACAAGAUCAAAGCGAGGAAACACCGUUAUGCUGGUAAUUGUUGAUUGGAUUACGAAGUAUGUCAUCGUGCACCCCAUGCGAUCAGCUGAUGCGACAAAAAUGGUAGAAUUCUUAGAGAAGGAAGUGUUUCUGAAAUUCUCUCGUCCAAGAAUAGUACUGAGCGACAACGGAAAGCAAUUUGAAUCCAUGGCAUUCAAAUCUUUGCUAGCACGGCACAACAUCGUGCACAUGAAAACGGCGUUCUACUGUCCAAUGGUUAACAACACGGAGAGGGUCAACCGAGUUCUCGUGACAUGUAUACGUUCACUGUUAGAAGGGGAUCAUCGUGAAUGGGAUGAACAGCUUCCGGCGAUAACGGCGGCAAUCAACAGUGCCAAACACGAAGUAACCGGAGUCAGUCCACACUCAGCGAACUUCGGCAGAGAUCUCAUUCUUCACACGGACCUGUACAAACAACAGAAUCUGAAUGCUGAGGACGACCCAAAGGUGGCGCAGGACAUGCGAUUAUCAAAAAUCCAGCGAAUUCAAAAGUUCAUUGUAAAGCGUAUUCAAAGCAAUCACGACAAAUCAAAACAACGAUAUGAUUUCAGAAAACGUGUAACUUCAUUCAAGAUUGGCGAUUUGGUAUGGCGCAGAACAUUCGGGCUAUCAUCGAAAUUGAAUCACAUCAGCCAGAAAUUAGAUCCAAAAUUUGUACCAGCCAUAGUUAAAGAAACGCUUGGAACAAAUCUGUAUCUCUUAGAGGACGUUACCACUGGAAAAAGGGGACGAUAUCAUGCGAAGGACAUCAAAGCCGAUUAGAGAACUCUUAUACAGCUAUGUACGCAGGCCAAGUCUGUUAACAAAGAGUUUUGAAGCUCCAGAAACACCGCAAGUGAUCGGGAUGAUUUACAUAUUAUCAGGGUGCGGCAAGCAACAACUUUUAGACUACCUUCCCACCUUGGUAAGACGAUUUGCAGGAAACAAGCCUUCUGCAGGCUUACCGUUAGCGUACCGAGAGAAAACGCACCCAAGCACGAAGAAAACAGCCUUCUUUAGGCAGUCCGUUAGCGUACCGAGAGAAAACGCACCCAAGCACGAAGAAAACAGCCUUCUUUAGGCAGUCCGUUUGCGUACCGAGAGAAAACGCACCCAAGCACGAAGAAAACAGCCUUCCUCAGGCAGUCCGUUUGCGUACCGAGAGAAAACGCACCCAAGUACGAGGAAAAUAGCCUUCUUCAGGCAGUCCGUUAGCGUACCGAGAGAAAACGCACCCGCAGUUAAUGCAGCUUUGAGGGAACCAUCAGGAGGAUACGUCGAUUACGAAAAAUGACAACUCAAGAACCAGAUAACAGUAGUAGCAUUAGCGAUAGCGCAGCUAAAUGGCACAAAAUGGAAUCGCACUGGGACAAAAUCGUGCACGGCGAGAAUUGCAAAUGGACGAAGCAAAGCGCCCACCAUUUUCGUAAACCGCGAACCUUGGUUCAAAAUACUAAUGUAUGACCGUACAAGAAAAAUACCGUGAGAACAUCGAAGCCUUCGCAGGCUAGCCGUUUGGUCAGAUCGGGAGAAACUGACAGUCGUUGAACAAGCUAUGAGCAACACCAGUUACCAGUUAGUGUUACGAUAAAAGGCACUCAGUAAAAAUACGUUUUGCGGAAUCACAUUACAAUUCCUGGAUUGGUGUCAAAAAUUUUCUCAGAUCCAGUGUCCAUAUAAUCCAUAAGAUCGUAAGGGAAACAGUCGCAUCAGGGGUCGUCAUGACAAAUCGUCAGAAGUAACGCGAUUCUGGGCGCGGUAAAACCCUUGCUAUGGACUCAUGACGUUCUAGGGACUAAAUACCCCUUUACCUAUGCAAUUGUGUACCUGAAUUUGUACAUAUCUAUCACCUAUUUUGGUAAUUUCUCGUAAAUUAAGAAUAAUCUUACUAGUUUAGUUUUAUAAUAAAUUAGUAUUGAUUUGUGCCUGUUGAGCUAAAGUGGAAGGGUACAGAGAAGUGAGGAUAAAAACUCAGUCGGAGACGUUUUGCACAAAUUUUGUGGUGUUUGUGAUCGCUAAAUUUUCCAGAAUUUGCUGGUAUAUGAUUUUGAAGUUUAGUUUAGUUAGGUGAAGGAAUUUCGUAGUGUUUGUGAUUGCUGAUUUUGCCAGAACUCGCUGGUAUAUGAUUUUGCAGUUUAGUUUAGUUAUGUCAAGAAAUUUGGUGUUUUGGUGAGCAUAAGCUUGCGUAUUAUGAUUAGUACAUUUUGGUCAUUUGUCUAAUGUUUAUUAGAACAAAUUUCUGUCUGAGCGAUCCACAGUCUCUGACCGACUUUUUGUAUAGAAAAGUUUUAGUUUUAGAAUUUUUCAUGCAUCAUUUGCAACGGUGCAUGAAAAAUUCAUCCGUUUUGGUAAAGUUGUGUAACGUUAGACUAAUUUUGUUAUGUUAUAUCAAGUAUGCACUGAACGAAAAUUCGGAAAGUUAAACAUAUGUGGUAUACGUUGGAUGAAGCACAAACUUGCGAUACUGGCAGCACGGCACAAGCACUGAUCGUUUUAUCAUCAAACGCACAAGGCAGCUAGCGUAUAGUGGUUUCCGCUUACACGUCACUAGCACAAAGAAGAAACUGAAAAGAAAAGCACAGUCAACUUCCUUGUCCAACGAAGACGGACGUCUUUUCGCUCGGAGACAUCAACCAGAAGAGAUAUGGCUCGGCCAUAGUUCGUUACCGAAAAGAAAACUGGUUGCAAAAAAGCAAAAAUAGAAUCAAGCUCGAGCAAAGUAAAUCGCGGCACAUGGAUUCAUGACGUCACCGUUCACUGAGCACGAGGGAUCGAGCACACAAAGAACGUCCAGCUCAUCCAUAAAGAACCCGGAAAGGGUCUUUCUUCUGGAUCUUUCUGUUGGAUUUUUCUUUUGGAUUAUUAUUCUUCUGGAACUGGAGCUCUCUUGGCUCGAACACCGCACUGGAGACCGCACUGAUAGCUGGAGACAAUCAUCAGCAGCUGCGAAGGGACUCCAUUCUGGGUCAGAGGUUGAAGCCCUCUCGACACCGCGCCGGAUGUUGUGCUGAUACUGCACCGAGACAUUACGGAGACGUGCUAACGCCGGAAUUCAUCGUGGGGUCAAUAUCCUGCACGAAAUCAGUGUUUAAACCUGACCACUCGGACAUCGUGCUUCCUCCGUGUCUUGCAGUGUUUUAGUGUCGCCAUAUCAUCAUACCCUGUAGGCGACAUCGUCGCGCUGACGCCGUCAUAUGGAAACUUCAUGUGAGCUGAACGUCAAAUGCUCUGCAUCGUGAGUGAAGAUGCAUGUGGUGUGAUUAGGAUAGAUAGGAUGGAAGGAUGAUUUCGUAUUUUCCGAAAUGGAUCGCACCGAAUCUGAUGACUUUCGUCGGAUUCCUUUUCACCGUAGCAAAUUUUGUAAUGCUCUCUUGGUACGAUUGGGGAUUCUGGGCUAGUACGGAGCUACCAGGCGCAACACC